rnacentral:rRNA from 1 species
GACGGGGGGGGGCAAGUGUUCUUCGGAAUGACUGGGCGUAAAGCGCACGUAGGCGGUUUGUUAAGUCGGAUGUGAAAUCCCUCGGCUCAACUGAGGAAGUGCACCCGAAACUGGCAGGCUUGAGUACUAAAGAGGGUCGCGGAAUUCCCGGUGUAGAGGUGAAAUUCGUAGAUAUCGGGAGGAACACCGGUGGCGAAGGCGGCGACCUGGGGUAGAUACUGACGCUGAGGUGCGAAAGCGUGGGGAGCAACAGG